GCCAUAGCUUAGUGGUAAAACAUCUGCUCUGCAUGCAGAAGGUUGCAGGUUCAAUCCCUGGCAUCUCCA